AUUGAACGCUGGCGGCAGGCUUAACACAUGCAAGUCGAGCGGGGUGAUGGUGCUUGCACUAUCACUUAGCGGCGGACGGGUGAAUAAUGCUUAGGAAUCUGCCUAUUAGUGGGGGACAACAUCUCGAAAGGGAUGCUAAUACCGCAUACGUCCUACGGGAGAAAGCAGGGGAUCACUUGUGACCUUGCGCUAAUAGAUGAGCCUAAGGCGGAUUAGCUAGUUGGUGGGGUAAAGGCCUACCAAGGCGACGAUCUGUAGCGGGUCUGAGAGGAUGAUCCGCCACACUGGGACUGAGACACGGCCCAGACUCCUACGGGAGGCAGCAGUGGGGAAUAUUGGACAAUGGGGGGAACCCUGAUCCAGCCAUGCCGCGUGUGUGAAGAAGGCCUUAUGGUUGUAAAGCACUUUAAGCGAGGAGGAGGCUCUUUUGGUUAAUACCCAAGAUGAGUGGACGUUACUCGCAGAAUAAGCACCGGCUAACUCUGUGCCAGCAGCCGCGGUAA
rnacentral:rRNA from 1 species